rnacentral:misc_RNA from 1 species
AGGAACCGGAUGCGGGAAAACUGCACGUCCGGGUCUGUGCGGGGGGCGCCCGGUAACGGGCGUCCCUACCGAAG